rnacentral:rRNA from 1 species
GACGGAGGGUGCUAGCGUUGUUCGGAAUUACUGGGCGUAAAGGGCGCGUAGGCGGCCUGGUCAGUCGGAUGUGAAAGCCCGGGGCUCAACCCCGGAACGGCAUCCGAGACGGCCAGGCUGGAGACCGGGAGAGGAGAGUGGAAUAGCCAGUGUAGGGGUGAAAUUCGUAGAUAUUGGCUGGAACACCGGUGGCGAAAGCGGCUCUCUGGCCCGGUUCUGACGCUGAGGCGCGAAAGCGUGGGGAGCAAACAGG